rnacentral:rRNA from 1 species
GCCUACCAUGCAAGUCCAACGAUGUUGCCCAGCUUGCUGGGUGGAUUAGUGGCGAACGGGUGAGUAACACGUGAGUAACCUGCCCUUGACUUCGCGAUAACUCCGGGAAUCCGGGCUGCAAAUACCGGAUAUGAGCCGUCCUCGCAUGGGGGUGGUUGGAAAGUUUUUCGGUCAGGGAUGGGCUCGCGGCCUAUCAGCUUGUUGGUGGGGUGAUGGCCUACCAAGGCGACGACGGGUAGCCGGCCUGAGAGGGCGACCGGCCACACUGGGACUGAGACACGGCCCAGACUCCUACGGGAGGCAGCAGUGGGGAAUAUUGCACAAUGUGGCGCAAGCCUGAUGCAGCGACGCCGCGUGAGGGAUGAAGGCCUUCGGGUUGUAAACCUCUUUCAGCAGGGAAGAAGCGCAAGUGACGGUACCUGCAGAAGAAGCGCCGGCUAACUACGUGCCAGCAGCCGGGGUAAUAAGUAGGGCGCAAGCGUUGUCCGGAAUUAUUGGGCGUAAAGAGCUCGUAGGCGGUCUGUCGCGUCUGGUGUGAAAACUCGAGGCUCAACCUCGAGCUUGCAUCGGGUACGGGCAGACUAGAGUGCGGUAGGGCGAGAGACUGGAAUUCCUGGUGUAGCGGUGGAAUGCGCAGAUAUCAGGAGGAACACCGAUGGCGAAGGCAGGUCUCUGGGCCGCAACUGACGCUGAGGAGCGAAAGCAUGGGGAGCGAACAGGAUUAGAUACCUUGGUAGUCCAUGCCGUAAACGUUGGGCACUAGGUGUGGGGCUCAUUCCACGAGUUCCGUGCCGCAGCAAACGCAUUAAGUGCCCCGCCCUGGGGAGUACGGCCGCAAGGCUAAAACUCAAAGGAAUUGACGGGGGCCCGCACAGGCGGCGGAGCAUGCGGAUUAAUUCGAUGCAACGCGAAGAACCUUACCAAGGCUUGACAUGCACGGGAAGCCACCAGAGAUGGUGGUCUCUUUGGACACUCGUGCACAGGUGGUGCAUGGUUGUCGUCAGCUCGUGUCGUGAGAUGUUGGGUUAAGUCCCGCAACGAGCGCAACCCUCGUCCCAUGUUGCCAGCGGGUUAUGCCGGGGACUCAUGGGAGACUGCCGGGGUUCAACUCGGAGGAAGGUGGGGAUGACGUCAAAUCAUCAUGCCCCUUAUGUCUUGGGCUUCACGCAUGCUACAAUGGCCGGUACAAAGGGCUGC